rnacentral:rRNA from 1 species
GACGAACGCUGGCGGCGUGCCUAAUACAUGCAAGUAGAACGCUGAAGGAGGAGCUUGCUUCUCUGGAUGAGUUGCGAACGGGUGAGUAACACGUAGGUAACCUGCCUGGUAGCGGGGGAUAACUAUUGGAAACGAUAGCUAAUACCGCAUAAGAGUAGAUGUUGCAUGACAUUUGCUUAAAAGGUGCAAUUGCAUCACUACCAGAUGGACCUGCGUUGUAUUAGCUAGUUGGUGGGGUAACGGCUCACCAAGGCGACGAUACAUAGCCGACCUGAGAGGGUGAUCGGCCACACUGGGACUGAGACACGGCCCAGACUCCUACGGGAGGCAGCAGUAGGGAAUCUUCGGCAAUGGACGGAAGGCUGACCGAGCAACGCCGCGUGAGUGAAGAAGGGUUUCGGAUCGUAAAGCUCGGUUGUAAGAGAAGAACGAGUGUGAGAGUGGAAAGUUCACACUGUGACGGUAUCUUACCAGAAAGGGACGGCUAACUACGUG